GCUUCCUGGCUUAGCCGGGUGGACAUGGGGCCAGCCCCUGGUACAAGGAGCUAGAGUCACAGGGAGGACAUAGGGGUAGUUUCUCUUUAGUGGGGAGAGAUGUGAUCAUCGCAAUCCUCGGCAGGGUGGGCCCAAACACGGCAGAGCCCAGAGUGUGGGUAGGACCCCGAGGCCUGGUGAGGAAAGGCUUCCUUGCUAAGGUCCUGCCUGGGAAGAGUCUUCCAGAAGUCUGGGUAGUUUCCAGAAUCAGACGGUUUCUUGAUCUACGUUUGAAAACUGAAAGAAGAACAUUAGGUCCUAAUCUCCAUCAACAAAUUCCUUCCAGCCAAGAACUCCCAGGUUCCACUUUGUUCAUUUCUGUAGGAAUUUGGACGAGCUAAAAGAGACACUGUUUUUCAACUCAGGAUCACCAUUCCAUCCAAUUGGGAUGAAUGUCAUAUGUGAAAGCUGGCGGAGUUGGGGGGAGGUGGAGAUAAUUCCCUUAAAGACAUAUGAUGUGAAGGGAGGAAUGGACUCAGAAUAAAUAGAAUGCUGCAUGUUGAAA